CCUACGGGUGGCAGCAGUGGGGAAUAUUGCACAAUGGGCGCAAGCCUGAUGCAGCCAUGCCGCGUGUGUGAAGAAGGCCUUCGGGUUGUAAAGCACUUUCAGCGGGGAGGAAGGCGUUAAGGUUAAUAACCUUGGCGAUUGACGUUACCCGCAGAAGAAGCACCGGCUAACUCCGUGCCAGCAGCCGCGGUAAUACGGAGGGUGCAAGCGUUAAUCGGAAUUACUGGGCGUAAAGCGCACGCAGGCGGUCUGUCAAGUCGGAUGUGAAAUCCCCGGGCUCAACCUGGGAACUGCAUUCGAAACUGGCAGGCUAGAGUCUUGUAGAGGGGGGUAGAAUUCCAGGUGUAGCGGUGAAAUGCGUAGAGAUCUGGAGGAAUACCAGUGGCGAAGGCGGCCCCCUGGACAAAGACUGACGCUCAGGUGCGAAAGCGUGGGGAGCAAACAGGAUUAGAUACCCGAGUAGUC
rnacentral:rRNA from 1 species